rnacentral:ncRNA from 1 species
AACUCAUCCAGAGGGGCAGAGGGACACGGCCCGGCGAAGCCCCGGCAACCAUCGCAUCCAUGCAAAUCUCGCGCGGCGAGGCAGGUGCGACAGGUGCCACUUCCGUCCCGGUUGAUCCGGGAGAGAUGAGGU